UUUUAUGGUGGCUGUGCGCAGGGCACCUUCGGGUGCGCCGGUGUCCUAACGGCCGGUCGACUAACCUGCGCACAGCUGCCACCCAC
rnacentral:antisense_RNA from 1 species